UGCAAUGCAUGCAUUACGUAGGGGUGAUGUACAUAUAGUAUAUAUCUAUGUAUACAUAUAUAUGUACGUGUGUGUGUGCGUGUGUGUAUUAUAUAUGUAGAGAGAGAGAUAGCGAGCUAGGGUUAGAGAGUUUAAGGUGUGUGGAGAUGUUAGUUGGGUUGUCUUGCCAAAGCUUGGAUAAUCAAGAUGAGUUAUUUGGCAAGACAAGUGUUAUUUGGCAAGACAAGUGUUGGAAAAGCUGAGGUUGUGAUUGAAGAGAAGUUUAAGGAUUUUAAUUUAUUAUUUUUGUACACCCUGUAAGGAUUUUGAAGUUAUAUUUAAUAAGAGGAGUUUAUAUUUUCCAA